UUAUAAUUUCUUUUAUGAAUAGUAAGAUUUUGAAAAUCUUAAUAGGCAUCCAAAUUUGCCCUUAUAAU
rnacentral:tRNA from 1 species